rnacentral:lncRNA from 1 species
UGGAGAGUCCUCACCUUCUUUUUAAGAUCACUUGCAACUGUGUAUUUGCGAACUUCUUGGCGAGAACCUGUUGGAACACUCGGAGAACAUGACAAGACCUUGGAUUCACCUAUUUCAAUACCUGAGCUUCCAGUUGAGUUCCUUCUCAAAUAGCCGACUCCGGACUCAAUUUUGUCCAGGUUCACUGGCAUGCCAACAUCGUUUUUCUUGCUCAACUCAUAAGAUGCAGUGUCUUUAUCCAUCCUGCUUCCUGUGUUUGUUUUGGUGGUUGCAUCAUCCAAUAUAGACCCCUUAAGUGUGAGCGAAACCCCUGUCAUAAGACUGUCACUGUAUCUUCUUCUGCUUAGUUUGUUGCUUCUUGACACAGAAUAAUCAUUUUCUCCAAGAGGCUUCAGCUUCAAAUCACUUCGAUGCCUUGCAGAAACGGCUAAUUUUUUGGUGCAUGCUUGUAUUUCCUUUCCAUGGGAAGUUUUCAGCCUUCUGAUAUUUGCAGGUAGUUUAGUUGAGUGUAGUGGUUUCUUCCGUAUCUGCCACUUCACAGUUGUAGCCAAUUUUGAAUUUUCUCCUGAUGAAGUUACAGAUGUUUUGGACAUGUGAGUCCUCGCCUUUGUUUUACAGUUGAGUUCCGCACCAUCUUUGUUAGCGUCAGAAGAACCUGUUGGAACACUCACAUGACGUGGCAAGACCUUGGAGUCACCCAUUUCAAUACCUAAAUUGCCAGUUGAGUUCCUUCUCAAAUAACUGAGUUCAUGCUCAAUUUUCUCCAAGUUUGCAGGUUUUCCGACAACCUUCUUGUUGCCCAACUUAGAAGACCCAGUGUUCUUGUCCAUCCUGCUUCCUUUGUUUGGUGUGCCGGUUGCACCAUCCAACGGAGAAUUCUGAGCAAUUGAUGAUCCCCCUGGUAUGAUAGUGUCGCUGUAUCCUCUUAUCCUCAGCUUAUAGAUUCCGGACAUAGAAUUAGCAUUUUCCUGCAACGACUUCAUCUUCAAACCGUUCCGUUGUUUUACAGAAACAGCUAAUCUUUUGGCGUAUGCUGGGAUCUCCUGUCUCUGGGAUUUACCAGUUGUACGCCUCUUGAAAUUCACAGGUAGCUUACUCGAGCGUAGUGGUUUCUUCCUUAUCUGCACCUGUACAGUUGUAGUCAAUUCUGGUAUUUUUUCUGAUGCUACUACUGUUCUACUCAGCAGGGAAGUCCUUGCUAUUGUUGUUUGAUCAUCACGUUCAGCACCUUUGCAAGCGUCAUGGCAAGAACCUUUUGGAUCGCUCAGGUAACGUGACAAGACCUUGGAUUUAGCAAUUUGAAAGCCAAAGCUGCCAGUUGAGUUCCUUCUCAAAAAGCGAGCAUCACGCUCAAUUCUCUCCAGAUGUGCAGGUAUGCCAACAACCAUCUCAGCCAUUUUGAGUUUGAGCAAUGAAACUAGUACCACUGCAGAACUUAUCAGAAGCAGAGACCCUUUGAAACCUCGACCUCACAAAUGCAGCAUCCUAGUGUGGAAAAAAUAACAAGGACCUGUGAGAGAAUUGAUACUGAUAAAAAAAGCAAGUGGUGGCAUUCAUGGUUUUCUAUCCACUUAUUGUAUGAUUAAACAUAAACCAUUUUGUUCCACAUAGUUAAUAUCUAUGUUGGUCAAGACUCUUCAAAAACGUUUGACAUGUGCCUGUCGAAUCUUCCAAAGGUAGGACAGUUUUGAAGGAUCCGACAUGAGUUCAACAACAUUUUUGGGAGAGUCUGAGAAACAUAGGUGUUAAUAUAUAAACCCCUACCGUUAUCAAGAUGAUUCGAAGGAUAUAUGCUAUUGUGCAUUUACAGGACAACAAAGAACAAUGUAAAAAGGAUGAAAAGAAAGUACCUAUUCUGCAGUUUGCACUUUUGCCUCCAUCUGAAUAUUCCUCAAAAUGCACUGUUAUUCUAAUUACCUAAAAAAUUAAUGCAUCCAAAUUAGAGAACUUUUAUCAAGAUAUAACUAACAAAUUGUAUAUGAUUAUAAAGACGUAUAGAUCUGGCACAUAUACAUUUGGCAACAAUUUAGUAACAUAAAUGAGUUGUGACAUAUAAACGUAUGGAACACCAAUUUAUGAAAAAAAGAAAUGUCAUUUCGUUUCAAUAAAUAAAACAACCCAUAAUAUCCUUUGAUUAAAAAAUUAUUAAUAUGUUUACUUCCUAAAUCAUACAUUCGAAUUAUCAUCUCCAUUAUUCUGCAACAAAUUCAACAUAAAGGAAAGUGAAAAUUGUUAUUUAAAGUGAAUUUAAAUUUAAAAGGUACAUUGUGUUCAUCCUGAGCCUGUAAAAUUAGAUUGUAUUAUUAAUUCAAAAAUUACAUCAAGAAGCAAAACCAAAACCUAAAUUCAGGCAAAAGGAAUUGAAGAUUUCAUUAACAUGGAUUAUUUUCAUCUUCAAUUUGAGAUUGAUCUUUGAGGAACACAAUCAAGAACCAUUUAACACCAACAAAAAUAAAAAAAAAAAAAAAAAAAACUGGUGGAAAAUUAUACCUAUUUCUUGAUAAAUUGGGAAUGAAAAACCAAAGAGGGACUCUUAACAAUUAGUUGGUAAUUUUUUGAGGGAGCAGAAUUUCAAAAAUUGCAAAGAAAGAAAACAAAAUGAUAGAAAAAAAAAGAGGAGAGAAAAAACAAUAAGAUAGAUAGAGGGGAUUUUUAAAAUUCAUAGAUAAUUUAUUUUUUUUGUAAGAAUAAGCGUGAUUAAUGCAUGAGAUAUAGUCAUCAUAUAGAUAAGCUUUGAUACCAAAACAAAUCACGAUUAUUAGGAUUAUAGGUUGCGAUUGGUCCUAAAGAGUUGACUCCAAACAUAUUUUUCGCACAUAAAAUAAUUCAUCACUAAACAGAUCCUUCUACGUUAAAGUAUUGACGUAACCAUAUUGAUGCAUUAUUUUAAUUUUGAAGAAUUUGAGCAGCAUAAUUUUGAAGUGUGUAUGCAAUAAACUGUUGCUUGAGAGAUGACAUUAGUCAUUAAUUGCAGAUAAAUGUAUAUUUCGAAGUGUUUAAAUCAGCUAUUUUGUUAAAAAUAAUUCAUCAUCAAUCAUCAUUUUGCAAAUUUAUAUGGGCAGUAAGGCUGAGUUUAGGUGGGAAAAAAAUUGGCUUAUUUUGCAAAUGUAUCUUAGUUCCACUCUUUGAAUUGGAGUUUUGCAAAUGCUGGCUAUAUUUUAAAUAGCAGUCCUUAAAAGUAGAUAUAUUUGAAAAUCGAGUAAUUAAUUUGCUUGGUCAACAAUGACAAGAGAGGGUUGCUCAAGUGAUAAGCACGCUCCAUCCUCCAAUUUUAAAGUUGUAAAUUCGAGUCACGAAGAGAGUAAAAUGAAAUGCACCUAUGAAGAUUUUUAAAAAAUAAUCAGUUGCUUGAUCGACAAGAAAGGGUUGCUCAACAGAUAGACACCUCUCUACCUUCAAUUUUGAGAUUGUGAAUUCGAGUCAAGAAGAAAGCAAAAUGAAACUGCCCCAAGGAGGAGUUUUUUGAAAAAAAAAUUCAGUUACUCGAUCUAAAUGUAUGAAUAACUAAUCAAAAGAGCAAAAAAUAAAGGGAAAAUACAUAAAAAAAAACCCCUGAACUUGGUAUGAAAACUUACUUUAGUACUUCAACUACACGGGUGUUUAUAUACCCCCUAAUCUCAUUUAAAGUGAAUAAAUACCCCCCUAAGAAUACAAAAUCAGUCUCACAGUGGCAAGUAUAUUACACACGCGCCAAGUCAUUGCCAUAUCAACGCUACAUCAUUGCCACAUCAGAAUCGUGUUGGAAAUCAAUUUUAAAAUUUUGUUUUUUUCCUUCCCUUCUUCUUCUCUCUCCCAUGUCAGAAAUCAAUUUUUAAAAUUUAAUUUUUUUUCCCUUCUCUCUCCAAUGGAUGCACUACCUUCCACCUCCAUUAGUGUUUUCUCAUUUCUUGCUUGAUUAUCAUUAAUUUUCACUAAUGACUUCUCUAUUUUCAACCUCAAUAUCUUCUAACAAUUUCACUAAUUUCUUUUGAGAAAAUUCUCAUACAUUUUCUAUCAAUAUCCAUUGAUGUGAGAUUGCAACAAAUAUGGACCUACAUUGAAUUUUUUACCGAUUUAUUGCUCUCUUUGGUAUUUGAGGACAAAUAAAUCAACUGAAAAUGUAGAUGAAUUCGACCCUUUAGUAAAAAAAANNNNNNNNNNNNNNNNNNNNNNNNNNNNNNNNNNNNNNNNNNNNNNNNNNNNNNNNNNNNNNNNNNNNNNNNNNNNNNNNNNNNNNNNNNNNNNNNNNNNNNNNNNNNNNNNNNNNNNNNNNNNNNNNNNNNNNNNNNNNNNNNNNNNNNNNNNNNNNNNNNNNNNNNNGGUUGCAGAAGAAGAAAAAGGGGAUUGGGGGUGGGUGGGUUUGCAGAAGAUGAAAGUAGGGGUGGCCGGGUGGAUGCUUUUUUUUUCUUUUUUAAUUAUAUAAUACAUAUAUUAGUGGGACCAAUUUUUUAAUAAAAAAGAAAGACGCGCUUAACUAUUUUCGUUAUGCCACGUCAGCAUUAAGGGGGAUAUUUAUUCACUUUAAAUGAGAUUAGGGGGUAUAUAAACACCCGUGUAGUUGAAGUAUUAAAGUAAGUUUUCGUGCCAAGUUCAAGGAGGGUUUUAUGUAUUUUCCCAAAAAUAAAACUAGAAUAACAACAUCCCCAUCACAUAAAAAAAGGAGAAGUUAAAAAAUAAAAGAAAAUCAACUUUAACAUCCCACGUCACAAAAAAGAAAAGAUUUACAAAAUUUGUGCAGACUACUUUUAUUAUGGGUCCAUGACGAAAAAUUUCUAAAACUUUUAUAAUUGUACCAAGUAUCAUCUACAGUAUAAAAGAAACUAAAUUCCAAGGCUCGAGACUUUAAUAAUUGCAUAUUUGCAUGAGAGAACUUGAAACUUUUUUUGACGUUUCAUCUUUUUUCUUUUUUGAAACCUUGCUUUUUAAGUUUCAACAAUGAGGUGGUCCUUAUGAAAUAAAGUUGGUGUUGAAAUUAUAUUAAAAAAAGGUACCAUCUAUAAAUGCCUUUUUCCACAUCAUUUCGACCAAUGGUGUUUGUCUCCAAAGUUUUCAAGCGACUCAUAAUUUACAAGUAGUAGCACUACUUAUUUAAGUGUAAAACAUGAGCAAUGCUUUUCCUAUUAUACAUUUAUACUUGUAUUGCACCUCAAAAAGAACUAUCACUAGCUAUAAAUUAAUUAAAGAUUAUCGAAUAUAAUUCUUUCACUCUUAAUUAGAAAUCUCGAUUUGAGUUCUGAUAAAAGAAUAAAAAAAUGUCAAAUAAGAGGCUAUACACAACAUAAAUUUAAAUUAAUUAGGCCCCAAAACGAAUAACAAACCAAAUUCAUGAGUACUCCCAUAAACGUGCAUGGUGAAUGGGUAACAUAAUCUCAUGAUUAUAUAUGUUCCCUUGGCUUCAAGAAAGGGGAAAUCAAAAUGCUGACCCAAAAAGACUAGCAUUAACCAUCAUUCUUCUCUUCUUUGAUCCUAUAUAUAGUAACAAUGAUAGCCUAAUUAUGUUUAGCAUCUACUCUCAUGUUUAUAUGCUUAAGUAAUAGUUUAUUAUUUCUAAAAUCAACCACUCCCUAACAUGCAAAGUUAAUUUUAAAAUCUUUCCAUGAUGUGUGUGUGUGGGGGGGGGGGUCAAAAAAUUAGUGAGCAAGUCAAAUACAGCUGAUAAUUGAGUGCCUUAAAAUAUAGUCUGGCCUACACGUAGGUAAUUAUACUUAAGAAGUUUAUUAGUGUAACCAAGUUAAGCAUAAAUUAAUCAAUGUCCUUUUAAAUGUAUACUUCAAUCUAUUUGUCCAAGAUUUCAAGUCAAGCAUCACACACACACACUUUCUCUCGUUGAUCUUAUUAUAGAGAAUUUUAUAAAUUAAAUAUAAUUGAGAGGUUUAAAUAUGAAAGUAAUAAGUUGAUACGAUGACAAUAAAAACAAUCUAUUUAACAUAUAAUAGUAAAUGUUAAAUUCUCUUAAUUAAAUCAUGCACGUAUUCAAUAUUUUGAAUUUUCUUGGUAAAACUUCUGACUAAACCAACGAUUAAACCAACAACAAACUUCUCACAAAACAAUUCAAUUUCUAAUAUCUGUAUAAUUCUAACCAACAAAAUGACCAUAGUAGCAGCUGGCACAGUAGAGCUAUAUAUCCCAUGGCUCGAGGGGUUCUAGGAAAUAAUUAGUACUACAUGUUAUUAUUAUGAUGUACUAUACUCAUUGAAAACGUCUCAAAUACACCAUUGAUAAUUUAUAAUAGUAUUAUAUGUGGAUGUGUUAGUUAACUACUACUCCAACUUAAUAGUGUAAUUUAGAAAGACUCUAAGGAAUGUUUAAACUGUACCACCAAAUCAAAUCACCUACUAAACAAAAGAAGUGGGUCGCACCCCAUGCACGUCAUAUUAAUAACAAUAAUAUAGUAGACAGAGGCGGACCCACAUGUAUAGGUGAUGCACGUGCACUCGUUAACUUUAGAAAAAAUCAUGUGUAUAUAUAUGUAUAUUUAUUUUGAAAAACUGGAAGAAACUAAACAUAAUUAACAGUGCCCUCAUGAAAAACAUAAAAGGCGGUUGAUACCGCUGGUACAAGCAGGCAUGAUCAACCGUGAGAUCAUGGUUCGAUUCCACUAUCCAGUGUCUUCAAAUUUUGGGUUCGCCUAUGAUGAUUAUUAGUAGAAAUCAUAAAAGACAGCUAAGAGCUAUACAAGUGGCCAAUUAUUUAGGUAGCUUUGUGCAUCUUUGGAUGAAAGUUAUCCAAAGAGAGCCUUCUGCUUAAAGCUAAGUUCCCCUGACAUACAUUAUGUCGAAACAAUUCUUUCUUUUAAUUAAAGUAGAAGACUUGUAGAACUAAUCGCUCAGAAUUAAAGAAGACUUAAAAGAAGUAAAUAUUUAUCCGCACCGCAUCGGACUUCAGAUCAAAGCAAUGAAUGCAAGACAUGUAUCUCUCAUAUACAUAGUUAUCACUCAAACCAUAGUUAUUAAGUGCUAUCUAUUCUAAGUUUCAAGAUGUGAUUUAGGUUAAUUUGUUCGGUAUGGUGUAAACACUGGAUAGGGUAGGUAUUUAACCACGUAAAAAAAUCAAACGAAAAGGGUUAAUUAUUCUGAGCGACAAGAGUUCUCUUUCCAAAAUGGGAAUUUCAUGGAGACAUACGCCAACCAAAUUAAUAAGUAUUAUUAGUACUAUAAUUUAGUCACAUGUCUCCUUCCAAGCAAACUCUCUAUGAUAAGAUAGGAGUAGUAUAUAUAAUAGCUAAUCAGUCUCAUUUUUUCUCAUUCCCAACAUACUCCCCCCCGUUCCCCACUAAUCAUUUCAAACUUCCAACAACAUAAAACACAACGGAGAUUUUCCUCAUAUUAACCAUGGUUUCUGAGAGAAAUUUGUCCAAGAAUGUGUGCAUAAUUGGUGCCGGACCGUCGGGGUUGGUGGCAGCUAGGGAGCUGAGGAAGGAAGGGCACAAUGUGGUGGUUUUUGAACAAAACCAUGAGGUGGGAGGGCAAUGGCUAUAUCAACCUAAAGUUGAACAUGAAGAUCCUUUAGGAAGUAGUAAUGUCCUAAAGGUACAUAGCAGUAUUUAUGCAUCAUUAAGGCUCACUUCACCAAGAGAGAUCAUGGGGUUUACUGAUUUCCCUUUUGUGGUGAAGAAAGGGAGGGAUCCAAGGAGAUUUCCUGGCCAUAAGGAGCUUCUCUUGUAUUUACAAGAUUUUUGUGAAUAUUUUGGGCUAAGGGAGAUGAUAAGAUUCAAUACUACGGUUGAGUAUGUAGGGAUGCUGGAUUAUCCUGAAUUUGGCAAGGACUUGAGAUGGAUUGUGAAGAGCAAAGAGAAGGAAGCAGAGGAACGGGUGGAGGAAGUCUUUGAUGCUGUGGUUGUUGCAACUGGUCAUUACUCUCAACCAAGGUUGCCCAGCAUUAAAGGUUUGUCAAAAUUUCCAUAUCUUUCGAGUUUAAGUUUUGUACAUUGAUAGAAUGAUAAUGAAUAUCAUCAGAUUAAGUUGAUCUAAAACAACAGGUAACUGAUCAUCAUAACAAGCUUAAUAUGGCAAGCUGGAAAGUAAAAUACUAAUCUACUGAGUUGAUUAAAUUACAUUGGUAGUGUAAUAAAAAGAUCCCAGAGUUAUAACUAACAUUAUCAAUCAAAUCAAUUCCUUCAUAGUCAGGUCAUGUCAAGGUACAGUUAAAUAAGAAAAUCAUAAGAUCUUUUUAUCAAAGUUAAUUACAGCAUGUAUUAUAUACUUGCAUAAACACAUAAUGCAGAGUUUGUAAUUUACUUCUGUUCUUUUUAUCCAAUAGUAUAAGAAUGACACUAAAAGCUUUUUUAUCUGUUUUGUUUGAUAAGGAAUGGAUGCAUGGAGAAGAAAGCAGAUGCAUAGCCACAUUUACAGGGUUCCAGAACCCUUUCGGAAUGAGGUAAUGCAAAAAUCUCUACAAUCACAGACAACAACAUACCCAGUGUAAUCCCAUAAGUGGGGUUUGGGGAGGGUAGACCUUACCCCUACCUUGCGCAAGAUCUUUUUUACUCAACAAUCAUAGAGAUGAAUGAUAAUCAACAGGAUGUCUUUUUUACUUUUUCUAUUUCAAAUAAUAAUUGUGUUGCAAGAUCCAGAAACAUAAUUGAUUUAUAAGCUAUAACAUCUCAUGAUGUCAUAAUUCGAACUCCAGUGCAUGUCAUAUAUUCCAAUAAAAAAUAAAACAAAAUUCCAGAAUUGCCACAGUGGACCACAUCACCAUAUCAUCUAAGUUUUCUCUUAAAGAAGUGUUAACUUUGUUUUGAAACAAACUUCAACUCUUAUCCGUACAACUUGCUAAAUAUUUUUAACUUAGCAGGUAGUUGUGGUGGUUGGAAACUCACUAAGUGGUCAAGAUAUAGGAAUGGAGCUUGUAGAUGUGGCAAAGGAGAUCCAUCUCAGUGCCAAAUCUCUUGAUGUUUCUGAAGGAUUGUCAAAAGUUAUAUCCAAGCACCAAAAUUUACAUCUUCAUCCUCAGGUUUGUUAAAUUAAAAAAUUGACGAUGCAGUUAACUGAAACAUGAAAACCCCAAGACAUUUUUCAUAUUCGAUAAUAUAACUAAUCUAGAAUGAAAAUGCAGAUAGAUUCAUUACAUGAAGAUGGGAGGGUAUUGUUCGUAGAUGGUACUUCAAUCGUUGCAGACACUAUCAUAUACUGUACAGGGUAAAAUGCUCUAUUCCCAUGCACUUGCCUUUGCUAGUAAAAAAGAAAACUUAAAAGCAGAGACUGAAGAUAAACCCCAUGUGAUGUUCUAACCAGCCUGGGGACUUCAUCCAUCUACUAGACAUUCUAAUACUCAUUUUGUCUUAUGUAGCUUAAACAUAUAUUUAUAUAUAUAUAAAGAAUUUUUGAAGUGUAGUAAAAAUUUAAAAAAUAAUUUGACUUUUAUACUUUGAUUCACCAGAAGUAGUGAGACAGAACUAUGAAGUUCUUAGACAUGGUUUUGUCUUAAAGUGAAAACAAUCUUGUUACAGCAACAAAUAAUGACAAAUCCAAUUGUUUUUUUUUUUUUUGCAUUGUACAGGUACUCCUACUCCUUUCCAUUUCUUGACACCAAAGGAAUGGUAAUAGUUGAUGAUGAUAGAGUGGGCCCACUUUAUGAGCACACCUUCCCUCCUUCUCUUGCUCCCUCUCUCUCCUUCGUUGGCAUACCCAGAAAGGUAACCACUUCCUGACUUUUUUCUUUUUACUUUCCCCGGUGCUUGGCCCCACUAUGGGACCUGACUAAUCGGGUUUCGUGCUAGGAAGUUCCACUUUGGAGUAAAACGCCCUCUGCCAAAGGCAAUUCCAUUCUCCGGCCUGAACUUUAGACCUCUAAUUAAAUAUGAAGGGAUAUUUCCCAGCUACCACCCCACCACAACCACUUCCCAACUGUUAACCCCUACACAUUUGUACUACAAUUAAUCUUCCAAUAAUUCAUUGUGCCUUAAUUUCAAAUUUAAGAAAUAGCUUAGUCCUAAUUAUAUUCUUGGAAAACAGCUUCUAUCAUUAUUUUGGAUUACUGUCCAUAAAUAGAUCAGUAUCCAUGUUUAAGAGAUGGAGUGUUAGUUAAUAGAUCUUCUCUUUUUUAUAAUGUAGCUCAUAGGGUUUCCUUUCUUCGAGUCACAAGCAAAAUGGAUUGCCCAGCUGCUGUCUGGGAAAAGAACACUCCCCUCAUGGGAUGAGAUGAUGCAAUCCAUCAAGGAAUUUUAUCGUUCAAGAGAAGUUGAUGGCAUUCCAAAGCAUAAUACCCAUGAUCUAGCUAAUUUUGAGGUAAAGUUAUCGAAGUUGCUCAAAAACCAAUAGUAACAAGUUGACUUGAGCAUUUAAGCCACGGCACUAGGAAAACCUACUAAAUGUUGUGUUUGACUGAUUUUCUUUGGCAGUACUGUGACAAGUAUGCAGACUACAUAGGAUUCCCACAUUUAGAAGAAUGGAGGAAAGAACUCUGCCUUUCAGUACUAAGAAAUGCAGAUAUAAACUUGGAUACAUAUCGAGAUUCAUAUGAUGACAGUGAGAUGCUACAAGAAGCUUAUCAAAGUCCACACUUCGCUCACCUUGGUCCCGAGACUUUUUGAAUCUGAAAGAAUAAACACAGAUAGAGUGCAACCAAUUUUAAUUCAUUUAUUUCUGAAGUAGAUUUGUCCAGCUAUUUAGUAUUUACUAGCUUCUAUCAGAGUGGAUUUUUUUUUUCUUUCUAUAUAUUACUUUCGACUUCAUCCUUACCUAUGAAAAUAAAAAAAGUCAAAAAGGUAUCUGGUUGAAUGCUCGACAUUUUAAUGAUGAUAUUCAUGAAAGAAAUUUUGUUUUCUUUUAUUUAAAUAUUACAGCUGAAGGCUAUUCUCUAAAAAUUAUUGUAUGAUAUGUGAAGUGAAAUCCAUUUAUAAGACCUCACAUUUAUGUUCUGAUUAGCAUCAUUUGUAAUUUCAUUCCUCAAUACUUUGUCACCUAAUUAAAUGAAAAUGAGGCACGGUACAACAGUUUCAUGAAACUAAAGGAUGUUCCUGCACUUAAAUAGCUCCUCAAGUGAAAGACUUGCACCGUGAAUGCUAAUUAUUUCAGGGAUAAUAGGCACAGACAGAUUUAUGGGCUAACAAAACCAGGCUGCCAAAGCUAGCCCAAGAAGAGGUCAAGAAGCAAUGUAUUGGUGAUGGACUGAUGGCAAUAACAUAUUCUGCCUCAACAGUCAUACAAAAAUUGUAGCUGAAGAUUUUAUGAAAAGAAGCAAUAAAUAUGUGAAAAUAAAAAUUAGGGUAGAACGUGAUGUACCUUUGGUGUACGCAUUUUCCAGCAGAGAUUUAGAUACUCUGCGUCAACAUCAUUGUUGUCUAGAAGGUGAACUUCUGAUAACAUUGUUCUGAGAGUGCACAAUCCACAUAUGAGGCAUGCCAAAAUGUGUCUCACCUGACAAAACAGCUAAUAUGCUCAAGAGACUGUUCUACAAACUUGAAAAUUAGUCAUCUAACUGAGAUAUGCCAUAACUACCUAAGAUCAUGGAUAAGACAAACAGUCAGCACAUCAGAUUUGCACAGCUAAAAAACAAAAGUGGCUCUGACACUUGAGAGCCUUCAAAGCACACAUUCUGCAGUUCCUGAAGUCUUUAGGGCCUUUGGCAGAGUCAUACAGCUAAAAUGAAAAAAGCUCCGUUGAACCUAGAAUAUUUCUCAAAUAUCAAGGACUUAAACUUUCACAAGAUAGGUUUAUAGUAACAAACCAACUCCAGAAACUGUAAUGAUAUUGGCAGCUUGACUACCCAAACAGAUUAGAAGUUCACAAUCGCCUCAAAAGGUUUCGCACGGCAGUAUCCAAAACCAUAAACUGUAUCUGGAUUUUAUCCAUGUCGUGCUAGGUUAUGUCUGGUAUACCAGGGAAAACUAAAAUAUCCCAAGUAAUCCAUCCAUCAAAAUAAGAAAUAACUACUUAAGUCCGGUGGCAGAUUCUGAGGCCUCUCAGAUCACUUUUUCCUGAAGCUCAAAAACAAAAGCUGAUAGUAAUAAUUACACAAAUGAGACACGACAUCCUCAGUGAAAAUUUGCCGGUCUCUGUGCUGUAAGUGCCCCUAAUGUGUCAGACGACAUAACAUCACCUAUAUAUAUACUAGGUAUCACCAAUAAUCUUUGCAUGAACAAAGACCUCCAGUGAAAUGAUGGAAGCGCUUUAUAUCUCUAACAACAAUAUUUCUUUUAUAAACUGCUGAAGCAAGCUUAAAGAAUUGGUGGCAGUCCUGACAAAUCCUUAAAUUCUUCAUUAUCCUUAAUGUAGGCUCAGAUGAGUGUAGCAGCCCAAAUGCAAGAGCAAGCUUUUCACUGUGGUAUAUCAGAUUAUGCUCCUUUUCCUCUUCAUUAAUAUCAUACAGAGCUAUCUCUGUUUCAGGCACAUAACCUGCUAAUUUCAACUGAUUUUUCAUGUCUUGCAACAUCUUAUGUAUUUCCUCAUUCCCUGUUUUAAGUGGAUCAGAUGCCUUAAACUCAUAAACUGCAUUCUCAAUUUCAAUUGAACUGCAUCCAGGAAUCUUUUUAAUACCACCGCUGUCCAUCAACUCCCUAACUUCUCCAACUUCAGUCCAUUUCUUUUUUUGAGUGUGAACAUUUGAUAUUAACACGUAGUUUUCCCCAUUCGUUGGUUCCAGUUCCAGAAGCUUACGGAAAGCAAAUUCACCAAGUUCUUCUCUUCCAUGAAAUCUACAAGCACCAAGUAGUGUCCUCCAUAUUAUUGCAUCUGGCUUUAGUUUCAUAGAAUGAAUAAUUUGCAUAGCUUCAUCCAAGAACCCACCACGUCCAAGUAGAUCAAUCAUACACCCAUAAUGCACAAUCUUUGGCUGCAAUCCAAACUGAUUUAUCAUGCUUGAGAACAGCCUUCUACCUUCCUCCACAAAACCUUGGUGACAGCAAGCACAUAAAACACCGAGGAAAGUAACAUGAUCAGGCUUUAAGUCUUCUACAAUCAUCCUAUCAAAAGUCUGCAAUGCAGCCUCCCCUUGUCCAUUCAUGGCAUAUGCCGAAAUCAAUACAUUCCAUGUAUAAAUAUUUUUUAACCCCAUAGUUUCAAAAACCUUUUUUGCCUCAUCAAUGUCUCCACAUUUAGCAUACAUAUCAAUUAACGCAGUACCAACAUAUACAUUCACUCUCAACCGAUUCUUGACAAUAUAAUCAUGGAUCCACCGCCCUUGACUCAGAGUUCCUAAAUGAGAACAAGCUGAUAAAACUCCAACCAUAGUGACCUCACCUGGUUUAACCCCAGAAGCUAGCAUCUCCCUGAACACAUCAAUUGCUUCUCUGAACAUCCUAUUAUGCGUAUAACUCGUGAUCAACGAAUUCCACGUAACUACAUUUCGCUCAGGAAUUUCAUCAAACAGUUGAUGAGCAUCAUCGGGUUGUCCACAUAUACCAUACAUGUAGACCAGAGCAGUGUUUGUAUAAACAUCGGAAGUGAAACCCAAUUGAAUUGCAUUACAGUGGAUGGAUUUCCCAACUUCUCCACAACAUAACUGAGCAACAGACUUGAGAACGCUGGGGAAUGUUGAGGAAUCAGGAAGGAUAUUCAGUUUACGCAUUUGGGUGUAAACGAAAACUGCACGCGAGUGAUUUUUUGAAUCCGUAUAGCGUCUGAUAAGUGUAUUACAUAAAUUAACAUCAAUGGAACGAGAGAACUCGUGGAAUAGAAGAGAACUAGGAGUAAACUCAUUUGAAGAGAUAGAAGAAUCAAUCAAUUUCAUAAGCGAGAAUUGAUCGAUUGGUUUAUCGCAGGCUACCUUUCGAUUCAUGUGGCUCUGGGCAGGGAUUUCACGCAUUGGGAAAUCGACUGAAGCUGAGAUUGUAUAAGCUCGGAAGCCAUAGGCGGAUGAAAACUGUGUAAAGGUCUUCAGUGAUGCUUUCAUGGUUAAGCAAAUUGCAAGCUUUCUGCUACAAUACUAUUUUCCUGCUAUUGUUGCACUAAUGAUAUAUAGCUUUGGAAUAUCUAAAUUUAAAAUAUUACAUUAAUUUAAUUCGAUAGAGCUCAAAAGAUUACUCAAAUUGACUCGUGUGAAGUAAAAUGUGACAAAGUAAAUGGGAAUGGAGGGAGUAAAAUUUUCACUGCUCCAAUUAUAUUUUCAUAUUCAAACACAAUUUCAACUUUCAAACACUACUUUUUUAAAAAAACCUCAACUAAAUCAUGCCCAAACAUCUUCUGAAUAUUUGUUCACUACUUAUCUUCUAUGAGUUUUCCCGUUAAUUUAUAACGAAUUUAACUAAGAGAGAUCAAGCAAAUGGGGAAAAUUUAAAAUUAGGAACAUUAGCAUGAAAGGAAGAGACCAAGAUUCAGCAGUUGUUGCUGCCGUUCGUGUCUCCUGUUUUAGCUUCUUCGUUAGUACUGCACUUCCCUUCUUCCUCUUCUUGUGAUUUAUUCUUCUUUCUUGUAAUUUUGUGCGAGUACUUAGCAAAAGCAGCCGAAAGUGCUGACUUGACAGUCACUUCGGGUUCUUUCUUCUCACUGUUGCUUGUAUCCACAAUUUCCUUCUCAUCUUCCUUUGUGUUGCUGGAGCCAGGAUGAGAUUCAUUAGCGACUGAAGUUUCUGGAAUGCAUUGGCGUUUUGGCACUUCUCGCUUGAAAGGUUCAUGAAAAGCAUCAUACAAGCGUUUUACCUGAUCCAUCACAAGUUCGAUGAGUACAUCAAACUGAAGAAAGAAGUAACUGGCAAUAACAUUGAAGCACUCUGAAGGAUCUUAAUAACUAGCUCAUUGAUUUUUUUUUCUCUUGUAACAAUGUAUGUCAAUGGAAAAUAUUAAGAACUUCUAGUGGUAGUGGAUCCAAAUUAUAAUAAGGAACAAAUAGGUUCAAAUGGAGCAAAAUGGAUAGUGAGGAUUUUUAUAGCCAACCCGACAAACUUGGGAUUGAGGCAUAGUUGUUGUUAUUGACUUUUUGCUUCUCCAAAUCCUCUAUAAGACGGCUUCCAUUCAUAAAGCACUUCUAUGAUAAAACACAACCAGAGAGGCAGUAAGAUGAGACAAAAUUGCCUUAAUUGCCAUCACGAAUACUGGUAACGUUUACAACAUAGUGAUGCCUAUGGCUAGAAAAACAUGAGCUUCCUCGAUAUAAUUUGAAACGACAACCAGCAACAAAACAAAUAACUUUCUCAUUGCCCCAAGCGAAAAAUUAAUCCAACAAAACCAUACAAAACAUACAACCAACACACAGAAAAGAAAAAAAGAAAGACAAAGAAGCAAACAAAUUGGAGAACAUGGAUCACACGGAAAGAUACCUUGCGCUCUCCUAUGCCAGGGCAACGAGCAAGGUCUUCCAUAGAUGCAUCCAUCACAUGAGAAAGAGACUGCAAAGAAUCUCACUAUCUUAGGAAUUGACUUGAAAAAGAAAAUAGUUUCUAAACAUUCCACUGCAAUUUCACUCUUACCCCAAAUGUUGACCCAAGAGUCACAACAUCUGUUUUGUUAACAUGUCGUAUUGACGUCAGAGCAUGAUUCAGCUACAAUGAAACAAUAAACCACAUUUUGGUGUGCUCAUAUCAGAGAGCUUAGGGGGGGGCAAUCCAUUCUUUGACUAUUUUCUUUUCAGACAAGUUCCUCAACAUAAUUUGAGUCAUCCUGCAUCGGAAAGUAAUUUACUGAAAACUGUAAUCAACUGACACACAUACCCGUGAUAGGUAGUCUCCAUCCAUUUGGCCCUGAAUGAGGUCGGCGGGCUUAUUUUCAUAAACCUUUACCGUCUCCAAGUACCGUCCGCAUUCUUCCAAACUAAAAAAUUUAAGCAAUUUAGGUGUUUGCCAAAAACUGCCUUAUACAGAUCUUCAACAGAAACAACAAUAACAAGAGUCGUCUUUUCUCAACUGAUCUUUUUGCGGCACAGCCACACAAGGCAGGGCAUAAUGAUGUGCAGUGAUGAGUCAUAAUAGAAGAAAGCAGAAACAUCUCAGAGUAAUUCCAAGAUGUUUCUAAGCAAGCAUACCACUUUAUGAAGUUAAUAUAACCAAACAUAAGAGGUACCUCCAUCCACACAACAGAGUGCAAUCAUGAAGGAGAGAAGUUCUGGUAACUUCAAGUAAAGGCUUGAUAACAUCUUCCUGGACCCAAAGACAACCAUGAGCAUGAGUCAAGUUAUUGUACAAGCAUCAAAACGAAAAUAUGAAGAAGUCAAAAAGUAUUAAAGGGCUUACAACAUCAACAUGGCACAAAAUUAUGCGGAGUCUAAAGUUCUUCUGCAACUCCCUUAUCCGAAAAUACAAGUAGUCUGGAUGAAGCAGAUGAUACCGGAGGCUACACCAGAAAAGGGAAGGAAAAAUAAAGAAGGGUAGAAUGUCAAGCAGUAGUACAAAUGCACUAUUGGAAAAAGAUACCAAAUGUAUAUUUUUACAAAAUCAUCUACCAAGUCAAGCUUAGUAACCAAUCUUCAUAAGAAAAUAAAGCAAUCAUUAUAAGAAUUCAAAUACAGGCACCUAUUGUCAGAAACUAUAUGAUUCUUCCAAUAGAUUGUGUGCAAGAUGAACAGAAAUUGGAACCCUUCAAACCUCAAAUAAAGAGCACAAGUGUUUGGGCCCAAUAAGUAGUCACAAACAAUAUCUGCAAAAGUCCACCUCACAUUCCUGAUAUGUUUUAGCAACGGAUUUCCCUUCUGCAUCCGAAUAGAAAGAACAGAAUAAAUAGACAAAAUUUACAAAUAGCUUGCUGCGAAUAUGCAUAUGCAAAAAAUCUUCAUUUCAGAGUCGCACCACUAACUUUGGCAACUUGGGUUCACUCAUUAUAGGAAAAGUUAAAGUUCAAAAAAUCUCUUGUUUGUUCAGUUUCUAGCUUGUACUAGUCAAUUAAAUAUAUUUGCUAUCCAUAGUCCAUUGUAUACAGUUAGUAGGCAGAAGAUGUGUUUUUUCUCUUUACAGUGGUAGAGUAUGGAGCAUCAAUCUGUUCUCAUAUGUACUAUUACUACUAUGCUAGCAUUCUCUUAUCUUUCAACGUUAUUACUACUAAUGUUUUCUUUACUUCAGUUAAAUAUUAUUACAAUUUGUACUUUUCUUUCUUCAUUAUUUUCAUCAUAGCUUCUUAUUUAUGUAAAUCGAGAGUCUUUCAGAAACAACCUCUCUACUUCAACAAAGAUACGUAUAAGGUUUGCGUACACCCAACUCUCCCCAGACCCCCAUUUGUGGGAUGGUAUGUUGUUGUAGUCCAUUGUCAUAUAGCUUGGUCAGAUAACUAAGAAGGCCACUUUGAUAUAUACGAAAAUUUUCCAAUGCGUGCAACUAGUCUUUUGGUUCAGGUGCUAAAAGGCAUACAACCAGUUUAUAGAGGCAUAUGACUAGGACACAAUAUUGAUGCUAGUACAUUCUCUCUAAUUGUGGAUAGGUUAACUUCAAAUUAAAACAAAGAAUAUAAUAGAUGCAGACCGAGCUUAGCAAAACAACAUGAACCAAAUUCCACUACGCAAAUUUACAUGCUCCCGUGAAGGUGGAGGCUAAUUACACAUCAAAAUAAUAGGAAUAUUAUAAUAGAUGGACAAUUUUGAGCUAGUCCACAAAAUUCUCCAGAUGCAAUGUUGAUUAAAUAAAAGCAAAGCAAAAAAUCUCACCUGUCUAUUGCUAACAAGUAUAGCAUUUCGAUUAGCUGAAGAUGAGGGCGUAGACGAUGAUGAAGUAUUAACAUCUGAACUAUUAACCGGUCUAUAUAAUAAAAAAGAAAAACUCAUAAGCCAAUCAGAAUUUCAAAUGCUACAAAGUCAAAGUCACAAACAUUGUGAAAAUUCAAACAGACCUGGGAGUGGCGGAUUGAGAUGAGGAAGAAGGCUGAGUAUUAGGAGGUGGGGGAGGGGAGUAGAAUUCGGAGUUCUUGACGAAUUUGAAUGCUUGAGAGAAAGAAGGGGUAGGGUUGAAGAGAGAAGAUGACGACGACGUCGUUUUGGACUGAGAAGAACUCUCCAUAACUUCUUCAUAGGAAGGAAUCUGUAUCACGAAGCUCUUCUUCUUCUCUCCUCCUUCCCGCUCUGCGUCUCCCAUUUCGUUACUGUAUUUUCUCCUUCUGCUUUCUUUUCUGUUUCGCCGCCAUUUUUUCUGAUUUUCACCCACCAAAUACUAUCACCAAACCGACCCGAAUUUUUUAUUUUAUUUUUUUGCAUAGUUUUUGACAGGAAUUUAAUUGAAAUAAAUUUUUCCGGAAAAUAUUUCCCUUCCUACUAAAAACACGUGCAAAAGUAUAUUUUCAUUUAAGCCGCCAACAACAAUAACAAUACUCAGUGAAAUCUCUCCAAGUAAGGACUGAGAAAGAUAGAGUACACACCUUACCACUAUCGGAGAUAGAUUAUAGAUAAAUUGUUUUCAAAGAGCAUCAAUAUAUUUUCAUUUAAGCCAACAACAAUAAAAAAAAAUAGUAAAUAAAUAAAAGCAUAUUCAAAUCAGGAAUAUUAAUUCUCUAAAACUUAAAUCAGUUGUUUUGUAAUACACCCAUAAUUAAAAAUUGGUAUUUUAAAAUGUGAAUUGGAUUAAGUGAUUGGUUUUUCUUUCCUUUUUACAAGCAGCAAACAAAUGAUUCUGAUUUAUGUAUGCAUUUAACAAUGUUUUCACUGAGAUGUUAUGAGAACAUUUACUGUAAAUUCAUGAAAUAUGGGAAGGUUUAUCAAACUAACAACAAAUUGUUGUUAUCUUUGUCAUUACCAUUGUAACUUCAACAUGAGUAGUUCCGCAUUGCACCAAAAAAAUAAAGUAUGCUAUACGAAUUCGGGUUACUACCUGUACAUACAAUUCCAAGAGCAGAAAUGCCUCAAAAAUAAACUACUCCUAUGAAUCAACUUUGUGCACCAUAUAAUAUUUUCAUGAGUCCAAAAUACUGGCUCUAAAAAUAACUAAUCAGCUAAAAGAGAAGAUACAACGAGGUCUUCGACUGUUUUGCCGUUCUUUUGUUAACCCCCAGCCUUUCCAGACUUUCUCUGUAAUGCCUUCCUUGUCAUUACUAGGAUGUGGUUGUAACAGUGAGCAUGUUGUUCUUCUCGCAAUAGGGGACCAUCUCCUACUUCUCGAACUAGCCCUGAGUGGAGUUUUCCUCGAUGGACCUGAUUCUGAUGCAGCAGUUGCAGGUGACUCUAGACCUCCAUUCAACUGAUGCAGAGAAACAGAGGCACCAGCAGGAUGUGGUUCUGUUUGAAGGACCCUCUGAUAGUUUGCUCUCCUAGGUUGGCUCCUCCUUGUCCGACUAUGCAAAGUAUUGCAUACUGCUUCCUUCUCAGUUCCCCCUUUGCGUGUGAGCUUCACGACCUCAUUGCAGUUGCUCCUGUCUGAUAUAAGUGUAUUGCGAUGACAAUGGAGGUUCGUGAAUUCUCCAACCUCUUUCUCAGGAUUACUUGCCGAAGAAGUUGCAAUAUCAGCAAGCCAGCCCAGAGUGUCAUGAGAAGCUUCAGAUGGUCCACCUUUGGCAGUCUUUGAAUUUCCCCGAGAUGAUGAAAUAAAAAGCAGGAUCUCUGCUGCAGCCCUGUCGGUUUUUCCAGCGUGAUCAUUCAUGUGGUAUAUUUUAGACCACUGGACAGACUUACCAAUUGUUUUGUCCAGAGAAUCUCCUCUAGGUGGAGAAUAUUCCUUGUUUUCUGGGCCUAUAGGAGCUUCCAAAUCUCUGUCCACAGGAGUCAUUGUUGCUUCACUGUGACCAGAUGAAAAAGUUUCGUCCUUGAUGCAGGACAUGUUAAUGCAAGAAUUAGUUGUCAGAAACUUGCUAUCACUUCCAGGUCCUACAAAGUGACUAUCCCUGCUAGAUUUACCAGAUUCGACUGCAGAAUCAGGACUCAGGAUACAAUCAAGAAGAACGGUUCCACAAAUCUCUCUUUCUACACCUUCAGAGAGAUUUAGAUGUGAAAUGGAGGUAGGGGUGGUAAGCUGAUUGUCAGACAAAUCGGCAUAAGGUGUGCAAUUCAAGUCCAUACCCUUCAUUGAACUCAUGCUAUCUGGAAUGUCAGAUAGCUUAACAGCAUCAGGUUUUCCAGAUGUAGAUUCAUUAUCACCAUAUUUCAUCAAGCAUGAGCCUGAUGUGCCAGAAGUUGGACUAGAAGCACUACUGUUGUACAGGUCACUCUUCUUUCCAGUGAGACUAGAGUUCCCAACAGAAGAGUUAGGACUCUUACUGAGUGAUGAAUUAGUAAUAAAGCAUGGAAGAGCUUGAACUGCAAAGGGUAUCUCCUUCAUUUUUUUCCGAGAAGAAACUAGCAAUGAUUUGUCAAUUCUUGUUCCAUUAUGACUCUUAUCUACAAAUCCAGGAGAUAAACUUGCUGUUUGAUUACAUUGAAGAAGUGUCGUCUCAACAGAAGAAACUUCAUCAGAAGAAUUCAUGUUGCUUAUAUCUCCCCCUGUAACUGCAGGUAAUAAAAAUGAGUGAGAAUUUCAAUCUACCAACAUUUUGGUGAUACAUUAAGAACAUAAAAAGGAUCUGAUGGAAGAAAUACAAAAGCAGUCAUUUUGUGCAAACAAAUGUUAAGAGCAUCCUAUCAGCCUACAUAUUGUAUUUAGGAUAUUGUCUUUAGAGAAUAUUCAGAAUACCUUCUUUCUCCAGAGUUGAGCAGUCAGCAUGCACUGUUCCAGAUAGAUCCUGAUCCAUGUUGCUGAUUUCCUCAUGAAUGUUAACAGACUCAAGUGCAGAAUUUGGAUACCCUGUUUCAUCAAGCUGUAUUGGUUCAUUCAGGUCAAACAAAAGAAAGCUACCCCUAGGACUUGAGUUAGAAAUUGAAGGAUCUCCUGGAUUAGCAAAGUUGACUUUUGAACUAUCCUGAGGUUGAAGCUCUGAAAUCACAAUAUUGGGCCCUUGAACAGAACUUUCCCUUACAAAUUGUUCUCCGUCUUCAAUAUCCAUGUAUUCUUCUGCAGGAAGUUCAAGAUCCAACAUUCUCUUCCUGGAUGCACUGCUCUUCGAAGAAGAUAUUUUCCUUUCUUUUGUAACAUUUUGUUCAGCCAAUAAGUCAGCACCUGAUGGCACUCUCUGACCAGCAAUAGAAUUUGAAGAACCUUGAAAAGUUUCUCCACAUAGUGUAGAUGGCUCAAUGCUUGUGAGGUCUAAAACCAUCUGGCAGUGGGAUUUCUGAGAAAUUUCAGACCUUAAUUGUGACACAAAAGACUUCGACUCUAAUGCUUGCAAGUGUAAAUGAUCCUCCACUAGUUUUCUCCUCCUAAUCUCCUCCAUUACCUCCCUUUGUCUUCUAUGUACACGAUGUAGUUCAUUGACCUGAGAAAGAAAACAUGUUUUAGACUUGUAUAUGGUUCUGAUCCAUUCAGAGAAUCACCAACUGAUUAAAGCAUUCCAAAGACUACUAUCGCCCAAGACCAACAAUAAUUAUAAAAAGAUCCACAGCAUCAUUGCAAUCAUUUGCAAUAUCUGUCCCGCCCCACCUUAAACAAUAAAGAAGAAGAAUAUCAGAUAGAGUAAAGGAGAAUAUCUAGAAGAAUUUUGAUUCUAGUACCACAGUUUAAUUCUAGAUCACCUGACACUUCAACAAACAUGAGAGGACUCAUAGGCAUAAUUAUUUUACAUGCAAAACAAAUUGAAGGGUUCAGUCAAAAGACAUAUUAAAUUGAUUGGAUGAUGACCUGAUCUUUUUCAAAGAGUAAGAUCAAAGGCUCGUGUCUAUACCUGAUAUCUAAAUAUUGCUUCAUGCUUGAGUAUUGUCUGCUUCAAUAUUUCCUUUUGAUGAACUAAUUCCAGGUUCUGGUCCGCCAUAAAUGGAGGCAAGGAAACAUAGAAUCCUCUGGCACCGUUCCAGGCGAUAUCAUUGUGUUGUAUAGACCAUGAAUUCCCACCAAGGCUCCCACCAUUAAGAUCUUUUGGAUGGUAUCCUGGGAGAUAGCUUGUACACUGCAUUUUCCGCCCCACCCUAGGACACAAUAAAAAAUUCACAAGUUUAGAAUGAUGUGCAUACGAAACAAGAUAGUUAAUACCACAACACAAAUAAUACACCAUUAUGUUACAACAGAGAAAGGAAUAUAGAGAAAGACACUGAAAAGUAGGUCACAAAAGGAGAGAGAACUAUUCCAUGAUGCUCAAUUUUCUGUUAUGUCCUCUUAAAUUCAAACAGAACUUAUUGUACUUCGAUGUGUCGAGAGGGAGAUUUAUAUCGAAAAGAAUAACAGCGAUGCAUUAUUCUCUAUGAAUAUGUCAUGCACUCUCUAAUCAAACUAAACUCAAUUCUCCGUAUCAUGUUAAUCUAUUUCACACUGUCAAGUUCAAGGGCCGAAUGAUAAACGAGUUGUGAACAUUAUAAAAUUUUGGAAUCAAACAUGAAAUAGAGAUUAUGAUAAAGAGGCAGCAACACAACUACAGAUUCAAAUAUAACUACAAUUAUGUGGAAUCAUUUGUCUAAAGUUGAAUCCAGACUUGAAAAUCAUCCAUGCAAUUUGAAUGAAGGAAGCUGAGAAUAAAUCCAACAUCCACAAAAACAAUUAAAACAAGAAACACUUAUGAACAUACCAAAAAGGAGACAAAAAGAAAGAAACCCAUCUUCCUUUUGACUUCGAAAACAUUGGGAGAAAAAAAAACAGAAAAUGUCAGUACUGCAAAAUCCAACCCAAAAUUUGAACAAAGUCAUGAGGAAGAAAGGGUCAACAAUCAUAGAUCCAAUCAUCAGUUGGAUUAUACUGAUGCAUAAACUCAGAAUGGGCUAAGAAAAAGAGAGAUGAAAGAAGAACAAAAAGACCCCAACAUUCAAAUCCGCAAAUAUGCACAAACAAAGAUGCAAUCAUCAGUUGGAUUAUACUGAUGCAUAAACUCAGAAGGGCGAAGAAGAAGAAGAAGAAGAAGAAGAAGAGAUGAAAGAAGAACAAAACACCCCAACAUUCAACUCCACAAAUAUGCACAAACAAAGAUGCAUCUAUGAACAUCCAAACUACCCAGAUGAAGAAAAUCACAAAAAACUAAACAACCAAAAGAACAAAAACAGCAAAUCCACUAAUUGAAUGAAUUUGUAGAAAUUACCAGAUACGAAUUCUUCGAAAUGGGUUCACCUCACAGAAAACAAAAAACCCAGUAACAGAUCAGUAAUCCAAGACAACCUCCAGCUCAUAAGCUAAAACAAAUCCAACAAAAAAAAACCAUUAUAGACAAAGGUAUAGAUAAGCUGAAAUAUCAUAGACAGCUUGUAAGAAAAGCCAAGAAAGAAAUGCUACAGAAAAAGUCCGUUGUCAAUCAAGAAAAAACACGGAAAAAAUGGCGUUUUCAGGAUCUGCUGGGACCAAGUAAAGUCCCUUUUACGAAAGAAGAUGCGGCCCCUGGGUCUGGGUAAAAAGAGAGAAGAAAAUGAAGAAACUUACAUUGGAAGAGAGAGACAUAUAUGGUCAUUUGUCAACAUUCAAAACACUAUCUUCUUUUGAUUUAACAUCUUUUUCUUGGAGUUUUCUUGAUGAUGAAGUGUAAGAUUUAUGGAUUUUUUUUCUUUAGAUUCGUUCCACUAUUCUUGUCCUUUUGUCUAAUGGAUCUACACCAAUAGUACUAUUUCAAACUAAUUCUUUUUGGGUGAAGUAAAACUUCUUCCAAGUUUCAUUUUUUAUCAAGAUUUUUUUUUUGAGAUUUUUUUUUUUUUACUUGGUUUAUAGUAUUCUAGUUGGGAUUUAAUUGAUUUUAUCUAAAUUACCUUUUAAAUAAUAUAAUUGAUUUUUUUACUUGAAUUAAAUUGAUCAAAUAGUGAAAAUAUAAAAAGAUGUAUUUUAAUAAUUUAAUGAUAAAACGAUUAAUUUGACAGCGCGGAUGAAAAAAAUUUGGAAUAUAGAUUUAGUGGCGCAUAAAAUGAUUGAUCUGACGACGCGGAUAAGGAAAAUUUUGGAAUAUAAAUUUGGCGGCGCAUAAAACAUUUAAUCUGACGGCGCCGACAGAGAAAAUUUGGGAUGUAGAUUUGCCGGCGGAUAAUACGAUCAAUCUGGUGGCACCGAUAAAGAGAAUUUGUGAUGCAGAUUUAGCGACGUCGACAAAGAGAAUUUAGAAUACAAAUUUAGCGGCGUCGACGCAGAAUGGGAUUAAUUUGAGUUUUGAUAUAUAGAUUUGGCGGCGCCAACAAAAAAACUUUGGGAUUUAAGAUUAUAAAACUAAACAAUUUUGAGUAUGGAAAAUCUAUUUUUAUUAUGCUUGUGAAUAGGUGAGAAUUUGAUAUCCUAUCAAAAAAUUAUAAUUGAAUAAUAAAGUGAUUGAUAGAUUAAGAGAGAAUGAAACUAAUAAGUUCUAAUAUAUAAAUUUGGCGAUACCGACAAAGGAAAUUUGGAAUACUAAGGCUAUAAAACUGAACAAGUUUAAGUACAGAGAAAAUUAUUUUUAUUAUGCGUGUGAAUCGGUGAGAGUCUAAUUUCUUAUUUCAAAAAAUGAUAAGUGAAUGAUAAAGUGAUUGAUAGAUUAAUAGAGAAAGAGAUUAAUUUGAGUUCUAAUUUAUAAUUUGGCGACACCGAUAAAGAGAAUUUGAAAUACUAGAGCUAUAAAACCGAAUAAUUUUGAGUACGAAAUAAAUUAUUUUUGUUAUGUUUGUGAAUCGGUGAGAAUGUGAUUUUCUAUUUAAAAAAUGAUAGUUGAAUGGUAAAGUGAUCGAUAGAUUAAUACAAAAUUUAAUUAAUCUAAAAUCUGGUAUAUUGAUUUGACGGUGUCGACAAAGAGAAUUUGAAAUAUUAGGAUUAUAAAAUCGAAAAAAUUUAAGUACAUGAAAUUAUUUUAAUUAUGCUUAUGAAUCGGUGAGAAUUUGAUUUUAUAUAGUUAAAAAAAUGAUAGUUGAAUGGUAAAGUGAUUGAAAGAUUAACAGAGAAUGAGAUUAAUCUGAGUCGGUGUUGACUUGGAUCUCGGGUGACGGAAUAAGGCGAUCAGAAGCGACGAGCAGUCGCGGUCGAAGCUUGGCUCUAGCCGAUAGGCUAGCUGUAAGCUUGGCUACAGCGAAGCGCUUACCAAGCGCGAAGGAAAGGGCCUUCGCCACUUGAGCCGUAUGCGGGGGAACUCGCACGUGCGGUUCUUAGGGGGGGAGAGCUAGUAGGAGCCAUCCCAUCCCAAUAGCGUAUAUUUGGAGCUCAAUAUGAAAUCUUAUAAUUCUGAUAUAUAGAUUUGUUAUCGUCAACAAAGAGAAUUUGAAAUACUAGGGUUGUAAACUUACCAAGCGCGAAGGAAAAGGCCUUUGUCACUUGAGUCAUAUGCGGGGAAACUCGCACGUGCAGUUCUUAGGGGGGAGAGAUAGUAGGAGGCAUCCCAUCUCAAUAGCGUAUAUUUGGAGCUCAAUAUGAAAUCUUAUAAUUCUGAUAUAUAGAUUUGUUAUCGUCAACAAAGAGAAUUUGAAAUACUAGGGUUGUAAGACUGAACGACUUUUUAUCAGUGAAUUAAAUUGAUCAAAUAGUGAAAAUAUAAAGCUUUAUAUUUUCACUAUUUGAAUGAUAAAAAUAUUAAUUUGAUGGCGCCGACAAAGAGAAUGAUAAAAUGAUUAAUUUGUCUACACGAUAAAGAGAAUUUGAAACAUAGACUUGGCGACGCCGACAAAGAGAAUUUGGAAUAUAGAUUGAUGACACCGAUAAAGAGAAUUUGAAAUAUAGAUUUGGCGGUGUUGAUAAAAAUGAGAUUAAUCUGUGUUCAAAUAUAUAAAUUCAACAGCGCCGACAAAGAUAAUUUGAAAUAUGAGGGCUAUAAGACUGCAGAAUUUUGAGAACGGAGAAAGUUAUUUUUAUUAGGCUUGUGAAUCAGUGAGAAUAUGAUUUACUAUUUAAAAAAACUAGAUCACGAUCACAUACAUUGCACGUAUAUCCUAAGCUAAAUAAUAUAUAUAUAAUUAUAUACACUUUAAAAGUUCAAAAAUUUGAACUAAAUUCUGUAGAUGUCAUAAGAAAAAACUACAUUUUCAUUUUUUAGAACCAUUUUAUAAUAUACCUACAAUAAAAAAGACGAGCACAACAGUACAACUCAUGCAUUAAGAUGGAGUGACGGACUAUCAGUGCACCUAUUUUACGUCACCUUGCAGAUACAUUUCUAUUUGUGUCUUAAGAAUUCAAAAUCUAUCAAAUACUUCGAGAUCGAAUGAAGCAAAACUUUUCUUUUUCAUGUAGACACACUUUAUAUACACACACUUUAUUUUAAAUCGUGAUUUUAGCGACACCAACAAAGAGAAUUUGGAACAUUAAAGCUAUAAAACUGAAUAGUUUUUUAUACAUGAAUUAAAUUGAUCAAAUAGUGAAAUCGUAAAGAAAUGUAUUUUUAAUAAUCAAAUGAUAAAACUAUUAAUUUGGUAGCGGCGAGAAAGAGAAUGAUAAAAUGAUUAAUCUGGCGACGCCGACAAAGAGAAUUUGAAAUAUAGAUUUGGCAGCACCAAUAAAGAGAAUGAGGAAUGUAGAUUUGACGGCACCGAUAAAGAGGGUUUGGAAUGUAGAUUUGACGAUGUUGACACAUAAUGAGAUUGAUAUGAGUUCAGAUAUAUAGAUUUGGCGACACCGACAAAGAGGAUUUGAAAUAUUAGGGCUAUAAAACUGAACAAUUUUGAGAACGAAGAAAACUGUUUUUAUUAUACUUGUGAAUCCGUGAUAAUCUGAUUUCAUAUUUUAAAAAACUAGUUUAUGAUCACGUGCAUUAUACGUGUAUCCCAAGCUAAAUAAUAUAAAUACUUUAAAAGUUCAAGAAUUUGAACUAAAUUUUGUAGAUGCCAUAUGAAAAAAAGUAAAUUUUCAUUUUUUUAAAACUAUUUUAUAAUGUACCUACAAGGCUACAACAAAAGAGACGAGCAUAACAGUACAACUCAUGCAUUAAGAUGGAAUAGCGGACUAUCAGUGCACCUAUUUUACGUCACCUAUUUGUGUCUUAAAAAUUCAAAAUCUAUCCAAUACUUCUAAAUUUAAUGAAGCAAAACUUUUCUAUUUCAUAUACACACACUUUAUAUAUAUACACACACUUUAUUCUAAAAUUGUAAGCUUUAUAUUUGUUGUAAAUUUUGAUGUCACGACAAAGAGAAUUUGAAAAACUAGAGCUAUAAGAUUGCACAAUUUUUAUACGUAAAUUAAAUUGAUCAAAUAAGAAACUAUAAAGAAAUGUAUUUUUGAUAAUUGAAUGAUAAAAUUAUUAAUUUGGUGGAGCCGACAAAGAGAAUGAUACAAUGAUUAAUUUGGCGGAGCCGACAAAGAGAAUGAUAAAAUGAUUAAUCUGGCGGCGCCAACAAAGAGAAUUUGAAAUACGCAAGGCUAUAAGACUGCACAUUUUUUUGUACGUGAAUUAAAUUGAUCAAAUAGUAAAAAUAUAAAGAAAUGUAUUUUAAAUAAUUGAAUGAUAAAAAUUAUUAAUUUGGUGGCGUCGACAAAGAGAACGAUAAAAUGAUUAAUCUGGCGACGCCGAUAAAGAUAAUUUGAAAUAUAGAUUUGGCGACGCCGAUAAAGAGAAUUUGGAAUAUAGACUUGGCGGCACCGACAAAGAGAAUUUGAAAUAUAGAUUGAGCGGCACUUUAUAUAUAUAUACACACAUUUUAUUCUAAAAUCGUGACUUUUACAUUUAUUGUAAAAUUUAUACCGAAUUUAGAUGAAUCUAAUACUAGUACAUAUAUUCUCCUUUAUGUGAGUAUCACGUUAUCGAGCUUUAUUAAAACUAAGAAAAAAAAAUCAACUGCGAGUCUGCGACAAUAACAAUGAAAGAGAAGUUUAAACUAAGAAUGUAAUUCAUUAAUUUUAUUUUACCUUUAUCGCAUCCUCAACACUUCCAAACGUCUACUAAUUUUCGGUGCAACUUUUUUCAUGAAGGAGAAGUUUAAACUAUGUAGUAUAAUAUCAUAUGAUUAUUAUUUAAUAUUUUUAUGUUUAAAGGGUAAUAUAAUAAAAUUAUCCUUCAAUUUAUAUUUUCUUAAGAAGUUUGCAGAGUCAAUAGUGGACAAGUAUUGUAGGUCGAAAGGAGUACUUAUGAAUAUUCAUAAAUAAAUAAAGAUGUAUUUAAUUUGUCAAAAUUUUCUUAUGAUUUUUUAGAUCAAUAUAGUCAAGAGAUUGCAGAAAAAAAUUAUUGUCAAAAGUUCCAAUCCUAUUAGUUUAGAAGAAUUCCUAAAAGCAGUGUGCAUUGAGGUUUAAAAGAAUUUUAUUAUUUUGUGAAAUUCUAUUUUAUAGUACAAAAAUUAAACUGAAAGGUUUAAUACUUAUUCCUUUCCUAUUUUAGGUUAGUUAUUUUUUUUUCAUUCAUCUAAAUAAGGAAAGUUCUUUUUAUGCAAUAAGCAUUCUCUUUUAACGGUCCCAUCUUUUUAUACCAAUAUAUUUAUUAUGGUAUCAUUCUUAAGAAAUAUGGUGAGAUAAAUAUUGAUUUUUUAAUUUUUAGUUAAAUUUUUUAAACUCAAUUCUUUUUAAACAAAUUAUACGGUGAUAAAAAGUGAUUUUCCUUGAUAUUGUAUGUGGUAUAAACUCAAAAUAGUCGCAUUAAUAGAUUUUAGAAUACCAAAUGCACAAAAAAAUAAAGAGAAGCUAACGGAUUAUCGAGUUCCCAUUUAAAAAAGAUCCAUGUAGAUAGCAUUCAAAUCUAUUAAAACAACAAUAAAUAAGCCUUUAAACUACUUUGUACCGAUCAAAUUAUUUUAUAAAAUAAAUUAAUAAAGAGAUUAAAAUAACUUAAUAAGAAUUAGAUGAAGUGGGCUAUGCUUCGUCUUUUAGUUUAAUUAGACUAAAUAACUUUUAGAUUAGUUAAAAAUUCGCUCAUUUGUUAACUUAACUUAUUUUGAUUCGUACUGUAAUUCAAGUCAAAAAUCACCCUUGGAAUUUUAUGUUUAUAAUGCUAUCAUGUUGGUCGAUGACAUUCCGAAGAAGCAAAUCUUGGUUGAACUUGUAUUUUGCCAAUCAAUACAAUCGGUUCAUGAGACCACUUUAUAUGGAUUGGAUGUACAAUUAUCUACGACGAGUGAUGUUGACACCCAUAGACUUGAGACAAAUUUAAGAUUUGAUGUUUAUGAGUUUUCAAUAAUCUCAAAUUAAAAAGAAAAAGAUAACUUCUUUAUAUAUGUCCAACGGGAAUCAAACCUCCAUACAAAAGGUCAACUAAGCUUAAGUGAAUUCACUAUUCUUGGAUCAAGUGUCUGUUUUAUUAACAAUUACUAUUUCUUAUAUGUUUGAUAGAUAUUUCAAUAUACAUACAAAAUUUUCGAAAAUCCACAACCGAUACCCUAAAUUUAGACCUGCCAUAAACCAAAUUAGAGUAGGUGUAUAGAACUAUUAAGACUUGUCGCUAGUUUAAUUUAAUCAUAUGCUAACCCAAUAAAUGAGCUUGAAAAGUUAUCCUAAUCAGCAUUAAAUUGAGUUAAUAAUGCUAUGGCAAUUCUUUAAAGAAUCAUAAGUUAGCCUAAUGAAGUAAACUAUUAAUAUUAUCAAACCAAAAAGAGUAGCAUAAAGAAAUUUAAAAUAUAGGAAAUGUUGGUAGUUGUAUCAACUGUCAAUUAAGAGAUGAUAAAUCAACAUCCACAUUAUUAUUAUAUAGUAUAUAUAGUUGUUACUAGCAUUAUUGAAUAAGAAUAUUAAAUGUAAUUUAAUCACAGCUUGUCAUUAUCACGAAUUAAUCAAUUAAUCACUAACUUAAUCAAAAUUAGAAUUGUAACUUAAGGCAAACAAAAUGCAACAUUCUCCACGUAAUCAUUUGUUUCGACAAAAAAAAAAGGAUAUCCUAGAUUAAUAUAAUCUUGGGAUACAGGAUUUUGGUAUUAAAUUUAUAUGGAUUUUUGCUAAUAUCAUGAAUAAUUAAAACACAAAAAUAUAUCGUAAUUAAUAUCCUAAUCUUGGUAACAAAAAAUCACCUUAGAGGUUCUUUUUUUUAAUUAAUAAAAGCUAGUUCAGUACUCUCUAUCCUUAAAUUGAGGGUAUAAUAAGUACAAAAAAUACUCCAUCUGUCUUUAAUUACUUGUCCGCAUUUUCUUUUAUAGUUGUCUCUAAUUACUUGUCCUUUUUGACAAAUCAAGAAAGGAUAAUUUUUUUUACCUAUUAUACCAUCAAUUAAAUGACUAAUUACUUUAAAAAAUGCAGAACUUUUCAUCCAUUUCAGAACUAAUAGGAGUAAAAUGGUAAACUCACUAUGUCAUUAAUUGAUUUCUUAAUAGGUGUGUCAAUUUAAAAGUGGACAAGUAAUUAGGAACGAAGGGAGUAUUGUCUUUUCUCAAUUUGUAAAAAAUGACAAGUAAAAAGUCAAAAAUUAGACAAUUAGAAAGGGACAGAGGGAGUAUCUCAGACGAAUUGCCAUGUAGAAUAUAUAUAUCUAUUUGUUUAUUUUUAUACAAAUUUAAGUAUGUAAUUAUACACGUCCUAGGUUGAAAGACAUAAAUAUCAACUGAAAUAAUUAAAAAAACAUGUUUAUGUAUCAAAUCGGAAAAGAAACAUCAAUGAAAAAUGACGAUAAAAGAAAAAGUAAGUAAAUUUUUAUUUUUUUUAAAAAUAAAUUGUAAUUGGUAUUUUUAUUUUUGCGUCCACAUUAUGUUACGCACGAGGCUAAUGGACCCCACCACUGAUAUCCAAACUAAAAUUCCCAUAUUUCUACUCCGUAUAAUACUACUAAUAAUUAUUCAUUUAAAAAAACAUGGAGAAAUUAAAUUUGAAAUUUUCAAUAAAAUCAUAAUAUAUGUAAAAUUAUAAAUUCUUAUCAUCUUAAACAUAUUAUAAUUUUUAUGGAUUUAUACAACUUUUUCAUUAAUAAUACAAUGACAUAUUUGGUAUUGUCUCAUAAAGUAAGGUUUAGGAAGGUAGAAACUAUACAUAUUUUAUUUCUAUGUCAGAAGUCGAUAAGUUCUCGACUCAAGGGAUAAAAAAAAUAAUCUCAAGAAGUUAAAAGAAAAAAAAAUUAGGAUUGCAUGAAGUGGAACGAAACUAAUAAUAAUUAAUAAGGUACGAGCUAGUAGAGUCGUGUAUCGAUCGGUUUAAUUUGAAGUUUAUCUAUUUGACUUAUUAGCUAUUGGUUUGUAGACAUGUUAAAUCAUUAUAAAAUUAUUAAAAUAUCAAUUAUCAGUUAUUGAUUAUCAUCGCUUCAAUUAUUGAUUUAACCAUUAGGAUUUCCAGUAAAUAUUUCUCCAAUAAAAAUCACUUAAAAAUAAUACAAUAAAUCAAAUAAAUCAUGCACUUAAAUUGAUGGAUCGCAUCUUUCUAACUUCUUUCUAAAAAAAAUAUUGAAACCUUAUAUAAUAACUAAGAAUUUGAGACAUUGAUAAGUAAAAAUAUGAAACCAUAUCCUAAGAGGAUGACUUUAUAUAUUAAAAUGCAUAAUUAUAAUUUGUUAAUUUAUUAUCGAAUUAAUGAUUAAUCCAUUAAGAAAAAAAUUCCAAAUCGUUAUAAAAUCAAUAACUAUAGAAGAAAAUCUAAAAAAUUACUAAAGAAAAAAACAAAACAAAAAAAGGUGCCAAUGAGAGUUGGAAAGAAACUUGGUGGGGUAGUUUAGAGAAAAGGAUCAAAAUUGUCCUUUUAUCUUUGAGUUAAAAAUUAAAGUAGUCCUUAUCUUUUAACAUAGAGUACUAAUAGUCUUCCAUGUUUCAAGAAUUGGUAUAUCUUUGGUCAGCUUUCAAAUAACCGUCUAUUUUUUAACGUUUUCUUUGCUCGUGAGAGAAAACUCCUCUAUUUCUUUCUCCUUUUAUUCUUGCUGAUUUGCUUUCAAUACAGCUAACACGUAAAGUUCUGCAAAUUUUUGGCAAGAAUUCAAUCUGUCAAGAGCAAUCGGAAAAAUCAAGCUGCUCCGCAAUUGGUUAUCCUAGAUAGAGCGUUCUCCCUUCUCAAAGAACUGGAGAAAAUCAAAUUACAUUCACAUCAACAAAUCUUUGACGAUGUGGAUUGAUCCAGAAUUGGUUAUCCAACAGUGAUGGAAGAAGAGAGUUUCGAAGGAAAAUUUUCUCACAUGCAAAGAAAACCCCGAUUAAAAAAUAGACGGUGUUUGGAAGAAGACUAAAGGUAUACCAAUUCUUGAACUAUGGAGGACUAAAAUUGCUCCAUGCUAAAAGACAAAGACUACUUUAAUUCUUAACUCAAAGAUAAAGGACAAUUCUGAUCCUUUUCUCGGUAGUUUAGCUAAAAGAAGAUUUAUUUUUAAAAAGGCGGAAUGACUUAGAGGACUCUUAUACUUGGUUCCAUUUGUCACCUAGACCCUUCUACUCACGACUUUGCCAACUGAACACUUAAAGUUAUUAAAACACACUAUUUUAAACCUCUUUGACUGUUGACUAAGCUUAUGUGGUGUUUUUUUUGCUGAAUCAGAUCAAGAGAGUGGUUACACGCGUUUAAAAGCAAGUGAAGACAACUAUUUAAUUUAUUUUAAAAAAAAUAAUUUAAAGAAAAAUAUAACAAUUAAAAAAAAAACUAAAAAAACCCCUUUCCCAAUAUGUUGUACGUUUCUUCUUCUUCCUCCUCAUAAUUUCACCCAACCCCCACCAUCACCACACACAUCUUCUUCAAUCUCUUCCAAUACUCUUAUCCACAAUUCUUCCUCUUUCUCUUCUCAUAUGCUACCUAUCAUUUGAGAGUUCUAUAAUGAUUGAGAAAAAUAUAUUUAUUUAGAUUUGGGUAAAAGAGAGGGGAAAAAAAAGGUUCUAAAUUGUGAAAUAGAUGCGGAUUUUAGAUGGGUUUUUGAAAGACAUGUUUGAGAUUCUUUCAAAAUGUAAGACAAAUUUAUUGAGAGCAUUUUUGAAGAGUUUUCUAUAAUGACCCAUUUUUUGUCUCCUUCUCUUCUUUCUCUCAUCCUCCAUUCGAGUCACCUUAUUUCUCAUCAACAUUAAAAUAACAAAAUUUAUAAUAAAAAACAUAACAAAGCUUUGCUUAUCUCUAAUUCCUCUUCAACGUAAAAGAUUCACUAGGAAAGAAAAAAAGAAUGAUUAGUAGCCAAAUAGAUGAAAAAUAUGGGAAGAGAAGAAAAAAUGGAAAGAAAUCAAGAAAUAAAGGAUUUUGGAGAUUAGUUUGAGAUUUCUUUUAAAAAAAUAUUAUUUAUAAUAAAAAAAAUGACGUGGCAAUAUAUUUCUGAUGUGGGUAGUGAGGUGUUAUCCACAGCAGCGCGAUUGGGAGACACACAUGAUCAGAGGGGUUUAAAAUACAGUGUUUUAAUAACUUUAAGUGUUCAAUUGACAAAAUCGUGAGUAGAAGAGUCCAGGUGACAAAUGGAGCCAAGUACAAGGGUCUCCCAGGUCAUUCCGCCUUUAAAAAAAACUUUUGGAGUCCAUUGGGCCCAAAAAGAGAAAAGGUAUGUAUGGGUUGGGCUUAGAUAAGUUACAGACCGGACGAUAGCAUCUCUCUUUUUUAAAAGACUCCCAACAGAAAAGUAGGGGUAAAACAAUUGUUGCCCCUUUUUUUUUUUUCCGAUACUCGUAUUAUAGUUUGAUUAUUUGGAUUUGCAUCACGUAGAAUUCAAUUUGGAGGGAAGGACUCCAUACCAAGAUUCAUACUUAAGAUUUAAACUCAAAAUCUCUGAUUAAAGAAAGAAUAGUAGAUUACUGCACACAAUCUUUUUCUACUUUUGGCAAAAUCGUUUUAUCCAAAUUAUGUUGAUUUUUUUUUCAUUUGACAGAAUAUUUAUUUAUUUUAAGCGAAAGAGGUUAUUCAAUAUAGAACACGAUAAUUUAAAUCAAUUAGGUACUUGUCUCUAUGUUAGCAAAUAAGCAGACAAUUUCUCAAAGGGAUUAGUCAUGUCUAGAUUAUUAAAUAGUGUUAAUAAAAAUAUAUAAAUAGUGUUAAUCAAAUGUAUACUUAUUAGUUAUUCUAUUUUUAAAAAAGGAAGGAAAAAGUACUAGGCAAGUAGUUUAACUGGAGACGCUAAUUAAAAAAAAACUGAAAAUUUGUCAUUUGGGGAAUUAUUUGAAAUAUUUUCAAACGUUUAAUGAUAGAAUUAGUAGUAUUUUAUUAAAUUGGGUAGAGAGUAGUACUCUAUGACUUUGACACUAUAUAUAGUUGGGAAAAGACAUCAAAAUUCACCCAUAGUCUCGAAAUGUCGAUUUCAUACUCAAGCUAAUUUGACGACCUAUUACACCCCUAUACAUAUUAAAAUUCUUAUAUUAGUACUUAUAUAUAUUCAGACUAAAGUAAAGAGCACAAACAAAACUUUUAAAAUUCUAACAACAAUGAGACCUAAAACAUAGUAAAAUGCACCUGAAAUGUGAUUAACACCUAUAAAACUAGUACUUGGAACAAUAUUGCAUCAAUAUUUUGCUUAGUUUGAACAUGUAAGUGAUUAAUGCUACUGUAUAAUAUGUGUUCAAUCAUCUAAGAAAUUCAACAAUCUGUUGGCAAGCUACUUACCGGGGGUGACCGGUUCACGUUCUGUUGUGUGGAUUCAAAAUUAGGCAUGAUAGAGUCCUCGAGGUUCAGCUUUUUUCAGCUCCUCAAGAACACACAGUUGUCUCCGGUGCUUUUUCCCAUUGCGGUGUGAUAUGAAAUUAUCUUCAUUCAUGCAUGGAACUUGACAUAAUUCGCACCACAAUAGCUGCCCUUUCUCAUCUUUGAUCUUCUUUCCGUGUUCCAUCUCAUGUUGUUUAGCCUUGUGUUUCUGACCUUUAAGGUGCAUCUUUAAUAAAGUUUCAUCCUGGCAGUAAAUUUCACACAAGUCACAUCUUAUAACUUGCUUGUUUUUCCCGUUGACACUUGAAUAUCCCCGGCAUUGCAGUUUUGCCUUGUGCUUGUUACCUCUCAAGUGUUGCUCGUAACAUAGAUCUCCAGAGCAGUAAACUUCACAGUCUUUACAGUAGUGCAUUACGUUUGUUGUAUGCUGCUGUUGAAGUGACACAAAGCCAGAGUUGCUGGACUCUGCAUUUUUCUUCCUACGUGAGUAAGUAUACGUAGGGCUUAAUGAUGGACGUGGUGGCGAUGUCAUACUCUUGACUAUGAUACCUAUCAGGAUGAAGAAAAUUGUUACAAGAGCAACCUAAAUGAACAGUACACCCAAGAAAGCAAACAUUCAGCAGUAUUUGUAGAUAUUAGUACUUAUUACUUACUUUGUCCAUCGGAUUCCAAAUGUUUUAACGUCUCCUGAGAAACUUCAUUGUGCAUACAAGUUGGUGCACCGCAAUCACUUACUCUACCAUCGGAUUUCUUGUUCUUGGAAAUCAAAGCUUUACGUCUUUUUACCUAAAACUUGGAUAGUUUCUAUUAGAUUUUGAACAUUUGACACACAGAACAUCAGAUACACUAAGUUAACUCACACAAUUCAGUUAACGGAAGCUGAGCACUUACAUUUAAAUUGCUCCUAGAGAUGUUACCUAGACAGAAUGACAAGAGUAAAAAGUCUUAAAAGAACAGCAAUAAAACUAUACAGUGUGUGCAAAUAAAUGUAACAUUCUGCAGAAAUCAGUCUGAUAGUUGUAGAACUUAGUUCUACUUACGCGUGAAAAAACUAGAAAGGAAAAUUAAAGAUGAAUUACCUCUAGCAUUAAUUUCUUCAUCAGAUUCAUAUUUACAGGUUGUUAUUGUUUGGCUGCAAUCUGUUCUUCCAUCAGUGGAUAUGUUUCUCUUCGAAAUCAAAGCUUUCCAUCGUUUUACCUAAAACUUGCGAUGAUGUUCUAUUAGAAGGACUAAUCUAUCACAGAAAUUAUCCGAAAUGCAGAGUAAAUCCCAAAUCUUAAUCAUCUUCUCAUUCAAGACAAGCAUAUUAUAGUAAGUAUUGAGGAGUAGCAGUUAUAGAUAAAUUGCCCAGAAAUAAAGUGACAUAUUCAGUCGGAAAUCUCAGUAGCUCAGUUGAUGCAUGAACUUUCACUUUGUUGGUGAGAGUUUGAUUCCUCAAUCUUGUAAUCCCCUCCUUAUUUCCCUUUCCCCUCCCCCUCAAUUACAACAACAUACCUAGUGAAAUUAAAUCACACAAGUGGAGUCUAAGAAGGGUAGAGCUGCAUACACAAACUUUUACACCUACCUCGUGAAGGUAGAGAAGUUGUUUCUGAAGGAUGCACGGCUCAAGUGCAACGAAUCAAAAGUAAUGAAAAGGGAAAACGAUAGUAAAGAAAAUAUGACAACUAACAAGAAAAGCACAUUUAUAAAAAGAACAUUAACAACAAAAUAGUACUAUAACCAAAACACAAUAAACAAACAACAUAUAAUCACAAAUAUCUAAAGCAAGAAACUAGUAGAAGAAUAAGGCUAAUACUGUGACACACCCCACCAAAUCUAAAUCCGUCAAAAAGCAAGACAACACUCCACUACCUACUAACUUUCUACCCUAAUCCUAAUCUGCAAACUACACAGGCCCCUAUCUAGAAUCAUAUCAUCGGUAAGCUGAAAUUUCAUCAUAUCCUGUCUAAUCACCGAUAUAAUAUUGAUACAUGUCAACUCAUGUAACAAAGUAACAAACCUACCUCCAAGGGAAGAACAUCAAUAGCAUCAUGAUUAUCUGGAAAUAAAUUAGCAAUCUUCUGUUUAUAUUGUAACUCACGCUGAAUUGCAUUCUCCAUUACCCUGUCUAAUUAAUCAUUAACAUUCAGAUUUUAGUUUCUACAGCCAUGGAAUUAGAAUCGAAACUUGACUAGGAUACUUGGAGUAAAAAAAAUGGAGAUUAUUAUUAUUAUGAAGGGUAUUAUUGUCAAGUAAAUGAUCAGGCGCUAAUUGUGCACUUGGUACAAAUCAGUACGAGCAUUUUGGGCGCGUGCCACGUCCUCACCUCACACCUUUUAGUCUUUUUCUUUUCUAAUUUAUUCCUUUUCCACGAAAUUGUGAUUAGAAUUUAUAGAAUAGUAUAGUGAAUUCUAAUUAUAUCUCUGUUUUGUGAUAAUACAAAGAAAUUUCGACGAAACGAAAUUUUAUUUAGAUUAAUCUUAGAUGCUAGGUCUUCAAAUUUUCAGGGGUGUGCAUCAGUCAGGUCGGUUCGAUUUUAUGUAUUAUCGAUUCGGUUUAUUGGUUUUGAUUUUUAAAUAAGCUAAAUCAAUAAGUUAUUCUUUAUCUGUUUUUGGUCAUUAACGGUUUGAUUUUCGAUUUACCCAAUAAGAAAAAUAAGAAAAUGUUCAUAAAAUAAAUAAAUGAUUUCUCACUUUUCUAACAAUCAGUUGUAAAUGCUUUGAUAUAGUGAAACAAUAAAUAUAAUGAGAAAUUGCAUCAAUAAGAAUAGAUAUAGUACGAAGGCAACAAUUACAUGUUACAACCAAAACAUAAUAUGAAAUUUCAGAUGUGAAGUGGAAGUAUUGUGACGUAUGGAAUGUGUAGACCGUAGUAUAGAGUAUUGAUAUAGUCUAUAGUUAUGUUAAAUUGUUAAUAUUUAAUAUUUAUGAAGGGUAUAGUAGUAAAUUAUUAUCGAUUUAUCGUCUUAAUGGGUUAUCGGUUUACCCAAUAACCCCAUAGUGAAAAUCGAUAACCCAAUUUAUUUUUUAAAAAACCCGUUAACACAAUAACCCAAUAGCGAUAAUCCAAUAACAUUUCUUUCAAUUCGAUUUAUUGGUCGGUUCGGUUUUUGCACACUCCUAUGAAUUUUAAAUAGUUUUAAGUCUCUUAUUAUAGACGGUACGAACCAUGUACCGGGCUCACAACCAGGGUGGUCUAUCGGGCCCAGGUCCACUAGUCCUCAUAAUCUGUCUGAUCUGGUUUGGUCCGGCCUGUUAAAGGCCCACUUAACAUUGGGGGUUUUGGGGGGCACUUUUAGUGGAUCGUGUUAGCACAGUCCGGUACAAUUUAGUUGAUUUCACAUUUUCCUUGACAUUACCAUCAAACGAGUUCGCUACUGAUAUUGUCUACUUUGGAUCUAGGUCCGCAUGAUUUUAAAACGCAUUGAUAGUAGGUAAGACCUGCUUACUUAUAUAUCCAAUAUCUCUCGUAUAUUUUGCCACGUGGACUUUUUUGUCACAAAUGAUAAUAUGAGUUAGUGGUCCAUGAGUUAUAUAGUGGCAGAUUAAACGUGUUAUGAGUCUAUAAAUAUGUAUACCUUCCUUCACUUUAAAGAAUUAUUAAUGCUUUCCAUCAUUUUCCUGAUUCUUAAACAUGGUGGUUUAUAAUUAGUAAAAAUAUUCAAUGCAUUAGAAUAGUACGUCCAAUUAGUGCUACCUUAAUUAAACUUCUACAUCCACUUUAAAUGUUCAUGAUUACACCAUUUUGGGGAAAACCCACCAUGUUAUUUGUAAGUCAUUAAAUUUUGAUUAAUUUAGCUACUGUUAUAAGUAGAUAAUCUUGAAUUAUGGGGACAAUAAUCAUGUAUUUUUUCAAGUGCUCAUUUUUAUCUCUUUUAGUCAUCCACUAUAAAAAAAAAAUUGGCAAUUACAAUACCUGAUUAUGACCUGAUUAAUUAACAACAAAUUCCGUGUACUAGAUAAUUAAUUAUGAAUUUAUGAUGAUGAUCAUCAUAAUCAUGCACUAAUCCAUAACAUAACUUUGUUUUACACUUGCCUUAUAGGUGGGUUGGUGGGUCUCCUUCACUUGCUUUUACUUGGAUUAACAUUUCAUUUCCUCUAUAAUUAAGUGCAAUUUAAACUAUAAAACAAGGUCCAAGUUAUCACAUCAGGCUUGAUACGUAGAGUUACUUGUCGUAUAUAAUAUGAUAAAACGUAAGAAUUCUUUACGAUGCACAAAACAUAUACUCUAAUUAAACAAAAUGAAAAGUUAAAUUCACAUUUCAACUCUUAUGAUCCUAACAAACAAGAGUGCCUGAACAAAGAAUCUAAAAAGAACUGUUUACAAGAAGAAUGUAAUGUGUGUAUGUUACAAAUGUGAAGAAAAAAAAACUAUUGACACUUUGCUGUGUAAUUUGAAACAAAAAUUGAUCAAAAUGAAGGAGAAGUGCUACGACUGGAUCCUGAUCUUUGGCUGCGCAAAAUCGCGAUUAACAAAUCCAAUACUUCCUUCAUGUUAGGCCUAGCAUGAGGACUAUCAGCAAUGCACCUUAUUCCUAUUCUAAGCAACUCACACAAUUCCUCUGCUCCCUCUGCUAGGCCUGAUACCAAAAGAGAAACUGGUAUUAUGGCUCUGGUGAAUCCAUGCCUUCCGUCUCCCAUCACACGUCUCGCCCAUUCAACUAGACAUUCCUCGCCUCCAUCUACAGCGCGUCUCCCUGUGGCUAACUCCAUUGCCAGCACUCCAUAACUGUAGACAUCGCCUUUUGUUGUGGCCUGCCAUGUCUGUCCAUAUUCUGGUGCAACGUACCCGACUGUACCAGCAACCAUUGUGCUAACAUGACUAUCUCCAGCAUCCAUAACCCUAGCUAGGCCAAAAUCUGUGACUCUUGCCCUUCCGUCUUUGUCUAGCAGCACGUUGCUAGCCUUGACAUCUCUGUGGACGAUACAAGGGUAACACUCGUGGUGUAAGAAGACUAAAGCACGUGCAACAUCAAUUGCCACGUUGAGUCGUUUCUUCCAUGUGAAUUUGGUUCUAUCUGUGAUGAUCUCAUCUAAGCUUCCACCUCCCAUGUAUUCAUAGACUAACAAUUUCUCUGAUCCAUUAAGGCACCAACCGUAAAGUGUUACAAGAUUCGGAUGCCAACCAAAGUCAUUUCCACUUAGUACUUCCAUUUCAGCUCUAAACUCUCUUUCCCCUUCAAUUCCCUCUCUUUGUAGCUUUUUCACCGCCACUUGCCUUCCAUCAGGCAAGACUCCGCGAUAAACUGUCCCAAAUCCUCCCUUCCCUAUAAUUCUGUCAUUCGAGAAUCUGCCUGUGGCCUUCAAUAUGUCAGAAUGUGUGAAGCUUGUUUUGUCCAAGCGGAUAACCUUAACAUCAUUAGACAACCAUGGUGAGGAUGCACCUGAACUCGAUGCAAGAUCGUGUCGGCCCUUUGAAUCCUCCAGUAGGUAUCCUGGUGUAUCUAUCGGAGAUUUUAGAACAAGGCAGAUAACAAGUGUCAUAAGUCCACAAACUAGCAAAGCCAGUAGCAAAGCCAUGAAUACCAAAACUGUACCAACCUUUGUAGGCCUUUUGAAACUUCCACCCUUGUUUAUAGUAUUAUUCCUAGUGUUAUCAAUGAAAGGUGGAAGGUGCAGCAAUGGAACACCAAGGUAUGAUGACUUCUCGAAUGUGGCUAAUUGCCCACUUUCUGGUAUAGUACCAUAGAUGUACGCGUUGUAAGAGAUAUUGAACUUGCUUAGAUCAGUCAAGUUACUAAAACUAGCUGGGAACAGACCAGAGAAAUUGUUGCUGGACAGAUCAAGAUUCAGUAAGCACUUAAUGUUGCCAAUCUGGCUUGGAAUCUCACCAGAUAUUCUGUUUUGUGAAAUAUUAAGGACUACUAGCUGCAUUUUUCCAAUCUCUGAAGGGAGCGUGCCACCGAAUUCAUUUACACCCAAAUGAAGCAUACUGAAAUUCUGCAUGCUGCCAAUUUCAGGAGGGAUCCCACCAGAAAAUUUGUUCAUACUAAGUUGAAGAUAGCCUGAUAUCUGAUUUGAACGAACAUUACUACCCGGUUCACACACUGGAAAUAAACCAUACCCUUUGAGCAAUUUAUCCCAUAGGCUUCUACAAUUCUUCCUGGUAAGGAGAGGAUAUACAAAGCUAAAUGGAGGGUAAUCAGCUGGUAUCCAUCUCUUCAUAGCAAAGCACUCCCCCGAGCCAGCAGUCACCUUAUCCUUAGCCCUAUUCGACAAGAAAGUAGGCAUAGGAUUUGAGCCAAUUCUUGCUAACUGAGGUGGAAUUGAACCAGAAAGCUGAUUGUUUGCAAGAUUCAACCACAAUAAGCUACUGCAAUUUCCCAACUCGGGUGGGAUUCCACCGGUCAGUGAAUUGUUAGCAAGCAUCAACCACAAAAGUGAGCUUAGCUUCCCUAAACUUGGUGGUAUUGAGCCAGUUAACUUAUUAGAUGAAAGAUCAAGGGCCUGAAGUGUCGGAAUAUCCCCGUAUACUGAUGGUAUACUUCCAUUAAAGUGGUUAUAUGCAAGAAUCAGAAACUUCAACCCUUUCAUCUUGGAAAGUUCAACUGGCAAUGGACCGGAGAAUUGGUUAUCGCUCAAGUCCAAUCGAGAAAGGUUCACUAAGUUGGGAAUUCCAGAGGUAACUAUACCUCCAGUAUAAGAAUUACCAUGCAACAGAAGAAACUUUACCUGUGUAAAUUGCCUGAAAAUUUCUUGUAUUUCUCCUCUGAAGUUGUUUCUACUAAGAUCAAGAAACACUAAGUUACUUAAACUUAAUAGACUCUCUGGAAUAUCCCUUGAAAAAUUGUUGCUUCCCAAGUAAAGUGCUUGAAGACUCAUAACUGAUCCAAUUUCCUCAGGAAUUGGCCCUGAAAAGUUAUUUCCAGACAAAUUCAAGUCCUCCAAGUUCUUACAAUUCGAUAUCUCUUUAGGCACUCCUCCAACGAAUCCAUUUUCUGAUAAAUCCAACACCUGCAAGGUGCAGUUUUGAGUGAAAAAUGACGAAGGCAGAGAGCCAUUACACUUGUUUUUAGACACCGAAAACUCCUUAAGCUUAUCAAAACCAAAUGACAAUCCUCCAGUCAAGUUAUUGUAGCUCAAAUCAAGAUAUCUAAGAUUCCAGCACUGAUCAAAAGUACUUCCAAUCUCACCAGUAAAAUUGUUAUUCGAAAUGUUAGCAACCACCAAACUAUCACAAAUUCCAGGGAAAGUUAAACUGAUCUCACCAUGAAUCCUGUUCAUGGUCAAAUCAAGAACUUGCAAAUUGUUCAAACCAGUCAAAUUAAGCUCCCCAUCAAUAAUAUUAUGCGAUAAAUUCAAGAAUCUCAGGUUUUUACAUUGGCCUAAGUCUGCAGGAAUAGACCCU